rnacentral:rRNA from 1 species
GACGAACGCUGGCGGCGUGCCUAUACAUGCAAGUAGAACGCACAGUUUAUACCGUAGCUUGCUACACCAUAAACUGUGAGUUGCGAACGGGUGAGUAACGCGUAGGUAACCUGCCUGGUAGCGGGGGAUAACUAUUGGAAACGAUAGCUAAUACCGCAUAAUAUUGAUUAUUGCAUGAUAAUUGAUUGAAAGAUGCUAUUGCAUCACUACCAGAUGGACCUGCGUUGUAUUAGCUAGUAGGUGAGGUAACGGCUCACCUAGGCGACGAUACAUAGCCGACCUGCGAGGGUGAUCGGCCACGCUGGGACUGAGACACGGCCCAGACUCCUACGGGAGGCAGCAGUAGGGAAUCUUCGGCAAUAGACGAAAGUCUGAACGAGCAACGCCGCGUGAGUGAAGAAGGUUGUCGGAUCGUAAAGCUCUGUUGUAGGAGAAGAACGGGUGUGAGAGUGGAAAGUUCACACUGUGACGGUAUCUUACCAGAAAGGGACGGCUAACUACGUG